AGUGAACGCUGGCGGUAGGCCUAACACAUGCAAGUCGAACGGCAGCACAGUAAGAGCUUGCUCUUACGGGUGGCGAGUGGCGGACGGGUGAGGAAUACAUCGGAAUCUACUUUUACGUGGGGGAUAACGUAGGGAAACUUACGCUAAUACCGCAUACGACCUACGGGUGAAAGCAGGGGAUCUUCGGACCUUGCGCGAUUGAAUGAGCCGAUGUCGGAUUAGCUAGUUGGCGGGGUAAAGGCCCACCAAGGCGACGAUCCGUAGCUGGUCUGAGAGGAUAAUCAGCCACACUGGAACUGAGACACGGUCCAGACUCCUACGGGAGGCAGCAGUGGGGAAUAUUGGACAAUGGGCGCAAGCCUGAUCCAGCCAUACCGCGUGGGUGAAGAAGGCCUUCGGGUUGUAAAGCCCUUUUGUUGGGAAAGAAAAGCAGCAGGUUAAUACCCCGCUGUUCUGACGGUACCCAAAGAAUAAGCACCGGCUAACUUCGUG
rnacentral:rRNA from 1 species